UGAGUACGAGACGCUAAGGCGUCGAAGUAGUGGAUGUCAUACUUCCAAGAAAAGCUUGCACUGUCAUAGAUAAAAAACGCCUGUACCAUAACCGACACAGGUGGGUAGGUAGAGUAUACUAAGGGGCGCGAGAUAACUCUCUCUAAGGAACUCGGCAAAAUAACUCCGUAACUUCGGGAGAAGGAGUGCCUUAUUCGUAAGGCUGCAAUAACAAGAUCCAAGCAACUGUUUAUCAAAAACACAGGUCUCCGCUAAGUCGUAAGACGAUGUAUGGGGGCUGACGCCUGCCCAGUGCCAGAAGGUUAAAGAAGUCGGUUAGCAUUAGCGAAGCUGGUAACUGAAGCCCUGGUGAACGGCGGCCGUAACAAUAACGGUCCUAAGGUAGCGAAAUUCCUUGUCGGGUAAGUUCCGACCCGCACGAAAGGCGUAAUGAUUUGGAUACUGUCUCGGAGAGGGGUUCGGUGAAAUAGACUUGUCUGUGAAGAUGCGGACUACCUGCACCAGGACAGAAAGACCCUAUGAAGCUUUACUGUAACUUGAAAUUGAAAUUGGACUUUAUUCGCGCAGUAUAGGUGGGAGGUGUUGAUUAUAAUCUUGCGGGAUUAUUGGAGCCAUCAGUGAGAUACCACUCUUGUAAUGUUAGAUUUCUAACUUUGAAUCAUUAUCUGGUCAAAGAACAGUUUCAGGCGGGCAGUUUGACUGGGGCGGUCGCCUCCUAAAUGGUAACGGAGGCGUACAAAGGUUUCCUCUGAACGGGUAGAAAUCGUAUCUAGAGUGUAAAGGCAUAAGGAAGCUUGACUGUGAGACCUACAAGUCGAGCAGGGACGAAAGUCGGUCUUAGUGAUCUGACGGUACUGAGUGGAAAGGCCGUCACUCAACGGAUAAAAGUUACUCUAAGGAUAACAGGCUGAUCUCCCCCAAGAGUUCACAUCGACGGGGAGGUUUGGCACCUCGAUGUCGGCUCAUCGCAUCCUGGGGCGGUAGUACGUCCCAAGGGUUGGGCUGUUCGCCCAUGAAAGCGGUACGCGAGCUGGGUUCAGAACGUCGUGAGACAGUUCGGUCCAUAUCCGGUGUAGGCGUUAGAAUAUUGAGAGGAGCCUUCUUUAGUACGAGAGGACCGAGAAGGACAUACCUCUGGUGUACCAGUUAUCGUGCCAACGGUAAACGCUGGGUAGCUAUGUAUGGAGUGGAUAACCGCUGAAAGCAUCUAAGUGGGAAGCCCACCUCAAGAUAAGUAUUCUCU
rnacentral:rRNA from 1 species